AAGGAUCAUUAACGAGUUAGGGUCUUCUAGACUCGAUCUCCCAACCCUUUGUUUACCAAACCUAUCGUUGCUUCGGCGAGCCCGUCCUCUGGGACCGCCGGAGGGCCGUAAGAAGCUCUCUGGCCCGUGCUCGUCGGCAGCCAACCACAAUAAAAUCUUAACCAAACGUGUCUUGAUCUGAGUACUAUAUUUUAAUAAAAAUAAAACUUUCAACAACGGAUCUCUUGGUUCUG
rnacentral:misc_RNA from 1 species